GAUGAACGCUGGCGGCGUGCUUAACACAUGCAAGUCGAACGAUUAAGCCCAGCUUGCUGGGUGGAUUAGUGGCGAACGGGUGAGUAACACGUGAGUAACCUGCCCUUAACUCUGGGAUAAGCCUGGGAAACUGGGUCUAAUACCGGAUAGGAGCGUCCACCGCAUGGGGGGUGUUGGGAAGAUUUAUCGGUUUUGGAUGGACUCGCGGCCUAUCCGCUUGUUGGUGGGGGAAUGGCUCCCCAAGGCGACGCCGGGUAGCCGGCCUGAGAGGGUGACCGGCCACACUGGGACUGAGACACGGCCCAGACUCCUACGGGAGGCAGCAGUGGGGAAUAUUGCACAACGGGCGCAAGCCUGAUGCAGCGACGCCGCGUGAGGGAUGACGGCCUUCGGGUUGUAAACCGCUUUCAGUAGGGAAGAAGCGAAAGUGACGGUACCUGCAGAAGAAGCACCGGCUAACUACGUG
rnacentral:rRNA from 1 species